rnacentral:rRNA from 1 species
GUAGGUGGCAAGCGUUGUCCGGAAUUAUUGGGCGUAAAGCGCGCGCAGGCGGUUCUUCAAGUCUGAUGUGAAAGCCCACGGCUCAACCGUGGAGGGUCAUUGGAAACUGGAGAACUUGAGUACAGAAGAGGAAAGCGGAAUUCCACGUGUAGCGGUGAAAUGCGUAGAGAUGUGGAGGAACACCAGUGGCGAAGGCGGCUUUCUGGUCUGUAACUGACGCUGAGGCGCGAAAGCGUGGGGGAGCAAACAGGAUUAGAUACCCUGGUAGUCCACGCCGUAAACGAUGAGUGCUAAGUGUUAGGGGGUUUCCGCCCCUUAGUGCUGCAGCUAACGCAUUAAGCACUCCGCCUGGGAGUACGGCCGCAAGGCUG